CGUGUGCCCGGGGGGGUCUCCCCAGCACUCCCCGUCCAUGGCUGCGGGGCAUGGGGUGCCCAGUGGCCCUGCUGCAGCCCAGGCGAGAGACAGAGAGUUUUAAUUGAAUUUCUAGAUUAUCCCGGGGGAGAAGUUGUAAUCUCCUUAAAUCCAACCUCUGGUCGAGUCCCCUAACCUACUGUCCUGCGCUGAGGAAGGGAUUUAGCAAGGGGGAGGGGAGCUUUCCCAGCCUGCUGAUGCCCAGCACCCUGCAUCCCACAGGAUUUGUCCCUCAGGACAUCAGAGAUCUGCUACCAACACCCCUGCAGCCCCAGGAAUUCAGGUUCUGUAGCCCCUCUCCCUACAUCCUACCCCUUGAUCUUUAAGAUUCCUUUCAACUCAAAACCUUCUAUGGUGACCGGAGGAUCCUGGGAGACUCCUAGGGCCAGCGGGGCUGGGACACAGGCGAUGGAGGUGUUGGGUGGAGAAAGGGAGCUGAGUCAGUGGGAUGUUUGGAAGGUGAAGAUGAGCCUUUCCUGUGUGGGACUCAUGGCUGGGAGGUGCCUGGAGUUUUGAAUUGAAAUAUCACCUGUGCCCGAGGUGCUGCGGCGUUGUGCAAGUUGCCAAGUAAGUCCCCUUCCCCGCCUGGGCUGCAGUGGGUACCUCCUUCCCAAAAAGCCCCAUUCCUGGACCGCCUGGGUCAGAGGGUGUUUUCGGAUGAGUGACCUUCGGAUGUCCCUGCGCCUGCCCCUGCACUCUUCGCCAUCACAUGGCCCUGGUGCCUCCCGCGUGAUCCCAAAUCUGGAUAUGAGCUGGGCUCCAGCCACAGCCCCAAACCCUCCUAGGGGACAAAUGCUAGUGAUGGGGCUGCAAGGAGAUGACGGCAGAGCUGAAAUCAGCCAGCCGCGCUCCUGCCUGCCCUGUGCCCUGGUUGUGCCAUUGCUGGGCCAUCUGCAGGGACUCCGGUUCCCAUCAUUGAUGGCGCUGGCACCUCGGCUGCAGCUGUGGGGAACCACCACCAGCGAGGGGGACAUCCACCUUCAGUGGUAUUUCUAAGGGGUGGUGAUCCCCCUGGCCCAGGUGUGAUGCGGUCUGACAUCCUCGAGACACUUCGCACUGCUUUGUUGCUACCAGUUUUCUUCCACCUCAUUGCUCUGUGCGUACCAGUUCAAGAGUUUCUGUGUCUUUUAAAUCCUGCAAGGGCUCCCUUUGAAUGGUCUCAUUCCUCGAGCUGAGCAUGGUGGGAGACCUCCUUCCCGGAGAAUACUGGGAUUCUGGCCCUUGUUAUCUGCCUUUUGCACCCUGACCCAGUUUCACAGGGGAACUGGACACCCCCAUAUUGCAGAUAUGAUCCCAAACCCAAGUAGCUGCAAGGGACGCAAAGGCAGGGCGGGGUAUUUUGGGGACCGUCUUUAUCUGCUGCAGCAAAGAUUUAGCACAAGUGUUGUGUAAUGUCUGGGGCGGGGGGGACUCGCUGCGCCCCAUCCCCUCCCGCCAUCAAGGAUCAGCAGCUCAAUUAAUCCUCCCUCAUUCCCUGCCCGUGGGUACGAGCCCUGGGCACCCUCUCAGCUGGGUCCCAGCAGCAAGAAGUCAAAUCUCUACCUGGAGUGAGCAUCCUUGGGAAGCCCGACUCAAACAGGGGUGGCCAUGAAGGUACCCACCGGGCAGAUGUGGAAGUCCCUAAAAUAACUCCCUCCUCAUUAUUUCUGUGCCCCAGCACUGGAUGCUGUUGUGUAUUGCUUCAUUAAAGGGCCCAUCAGCUGCAGACCCUGUGGGCAAAGACCCGGGCAUUUAAAGGGUUGGUUUUAAACCAACAAGGUUCAGCGCUCACCCAGCUGUGUUCCCUCCUCCACUGAUGGGUGGCUCGCUCAGGGAUGCACUGCUGGAUCACAAAAGCAAUAAAGUAGAAGCCAGGAACAACUUUUUUUUUUAGCCAGCCCUAAAAGCCAACACCUACAUGUGUUCCUGGGCAACCCUGCAAUAAACAAGGUGAGCGCAAAGCCCGAUGUUGGCAAGCCCAGGCACUGCUACGCUCGCGCACGCAGCCUGACAAGGAGCAGGGCACUGUUUCUCCAGCAAGAAAACCAAAAUACCAUCAAAGGAAGAUUUUGGAGGGCAAAGGUGGUGGCACAUUGCUGCCAGCCACAACAGCCAACCUAACAUCCAUGGUCCUUGUCCUGCUCGCCAUCAUCCCUUGGAGAUGUAAAGCCGGGCACCGCGCAGCAUCCCGGCAUGGCCAGGUGGCCGCGGUGGCAUCAGGCAGGCAUAGAGCAAAGGUGCCUGUGGCUGGAGAGGUGGUCAGGUCUGGUGACUUUGGGGAGGGUGGGACAUGGUGACAUGCCUUCGGUGAAGAGCCACAUGGAGAGUUACACAACGCUGCCCCGGUCGCCCUUGGCUGUGCGCGCUGUGCACGCUCCUAUCGACACGGCCCCGGCCGCCCUCCAACAUCCCCACAGGGAGAUAACUUUGCAAGUGGCAUAAACGUAAGCGCACGUGAGUGGGGGGGACCUGCUCCAGCCCCCCCUGCACCCUCCCACAGCGGGCAUCAGCGACGCCUGGGACUCGCCAGAGUCCCGCUGUACCCUGGCUCAGCCGUGCCGAUGGCAGGGGGGUCAGGAGGGUUGGGAUGGUGCUGUGAGGAGUGGAGGGAACAGGGUAAACACCCAUCACCAAAUCCCAACACAGAGGUUUUUAGGACAUGAAGGACCAGCCAGAAGGAUUAGAACCUGGGGGAUGAGACACCAGAUUACAGGGGAAAGCAGUCAGUGGACACGGGCAGAACCUCAAUUCUUUGCACUCGUCACUUAACAACGGCCAUGACCCAAAAAGCACCUUCAAGCCUUUCCCAAAGGAGGAAGAAAAAUCACUCUCUUUUUCCGCUGGAGGUAAAAAACACUUGCUGAUCCCACCAGUGCUCUUGCCAGCAGCAAGGAGCCCUCCCCUUACCGCAGAAGUAGGAUGCAGCGGGGAUGCUUUCACUCAAAGAAAAGGGGAAACUGAGGCAGAGCAGCUGGAUGGGCCCAAGUGUGGGGACUGGCUGCAGCCCCUGUCAUCACCUUCCCCCCAGCGUGGCCUGGCCUGAGUUCGAGGUAUUUAUAAAGCCGAUAAGGGAGCAGAAAGAAUUUUCCAAACGCCAAAGUUACGUAACCUCUCCUCGCCCUCCACGGACAUCAUCUGUAAUUAUAGGCUUGCAGCGAGGCAAGCGCUCCAUGGUGGGACUGGCAGGAAGCCACUGCUGCCAGUGUCCCCCGAAAGGGCUUCACCCUCCUCUCCCUAACUGCGAGGGGUCCCCAGAGCCAGGCACCAGCCCGUGCCAUCACCAGGCACCCGGCACCCCAUCCCUGGGGACCCUGGUGGUAUCACAAUUGGUCCCCCCACUGUGUGGGAAGCCCAGGUUUUCGGCUGGGCUCUGGGUGGCCAAACCCCUCGGGGUGCGCACACCCCUCCAACCCAUCCUGGCACGCGCUGGAUGUCAAAGCAGAUGACAGCCCGAGCGCUGCUGACAUUGCCAUGGUGACUCAAACACUGCUGCUGGGAGGACUCAUGUGCACCACCACCUGCACCCACAAAGCAGGCAACACCCCUCAAGUACCCCCUGUCCCCCACCAGCCUCAUUUCCACCACUUUUUGUGCCAUUGCACCCAAAGGCCGCUUCCAAAACCUCCUCCAUCACCUCACAGCUGCCUUCAACUCCACCAGCUGUGCCUCAGUUUCCCUAGCCAUGCGCUUGCUGCCUGGAGAGAACGGUAUCCCCUCCCUGGGAUAUUUCUCUCUCGCUCAACUUUGACCAAGGUGGCAGAGUUGGAGGGAUGCUGAGCAAAGGCUCUGUCGCUGUGGCAACCCGCCGUGGCCGUCUCCAGGAGACCGCCCAGGGAUAUUGCAGAGCCGCUCCGGAGGCAGAGCAAGAGGGACCAGGGCUGGAGAUGGGGUGUCCAUAGGGAUGCCACAACCCCCACACAUUAUCCCACCAGACCCACAGCUUGGAUCAAUGUAGCAGUGUAAAAGGACCCUGAAAACGGACACCGAUGUGACUCGGGCAGCGGGCUGAGCACCGACUAGCUCAUGGCACCCCAGGCUGGCAGUGAUACCAGCAGGAUGUUCCCGGGCAGGUGUGGGGCACUGACUUUUUCAGGGACACCUGCAGGGCUGUGGAAAUAAUUGCUGGUAAUAAGCCCGUUAGCCUCUUAACCCUCAUUAAGCAGCUUAGGGGAGACACACGCUGUUAUACGCAAACCCGGAGGUGGAGAAGGCCCUUGUCAGGGCAAAGGGGUGUUAUUGCUGGGGAUGGGAUUUCAGUGGGUGCUGCAGGGGUGUCACCAGGGGCACAGCUCCAUCCCUCCCUCCAGCAAGCUCCCCUCCUGCAUCCAGCCCCCCCUUGUUGCUCUUUGCCAGCCAGGAUCAUUGGUAGCUCGCGGCAGCGCUGAGCAGCGGGCAGGGACGGUGAUGACAGGCUGUCACACCCGUGUGACGAGUGUGGGAGGUCUCAGCCACAGUCACGCUUGCAGGGAGGAGCGGGGUGGCUGACAGCAUGGGGAGACAGCCCGGCCAGCGCCCGACACCGCGGCUGGGGAACGGAGCAGGACAUUUCUAAUCGCUACAGCUGGACAAUUUCCCACUUUUACAUUUGCUAAAUUAAAGGAUGUCAGUGUCUGAUGCCAAGCCCAGGCUCCCUUGGAAAUUUAAACUAAUGACGGUGAAGAAAACGAGCUGAAACCAGAGCACAAGCACUCCCACGUUUUCCAGCCACAUCACCCCUUACCAGUCAUGACCAUGGCAGGGUUUCAAUGGCAGCUCACAAAGCAUCAACCAUCCCGAAGAUCUCGAUGUUUUGCCUCAAACCGCUGCCUUGCUCGGCAAGCCAGGCUGCCGUGCCGGGGUCCCCAGAAAGACCCUCAGCCUCCUGCAGCCUCCCAGAUGGUAAACAUAUCCCUCCUUUAUGGAGGGAGCUGCUCUAGGCAACGGGGUUUCCAUCAGCAUGGAGUGGAAGUGGGGAGAAGCAGAGUGACAAGGGCAAUGUCGGUAUUUCUCCAGAUCUGGUGAUUCCCCCCGGCUGGUUCCAUCCUGCCCAGCCCCACACAGGCAGGCGGUGGGGUCCCAGCACAGCUCCGGGGUUCAAGCUGCCACACAGCCCCUUCGCUGCCCCUUUUCCCUAUGGAAAUACCUGGGCUCAGGCAUGGGUUUCAGUCCCUGGUGCUCCCCGGGCUCCACCGGGGUGGGUUUGCGCUGCAGCUGAGCGAAAUCACAGCGUGGUUGGUUUGGGUUUUAUGUUUUUUUUUUCCUUUUAUAAUUUUCUCUGUGAGAUAAAAUUAAACAAACAAGCCCUUCUGGGAGCGGUGUGAGGAAUGGAGCGUGCUUUCCUACAGAUGUGUGCGUCCUCAGCAAGUACAACCAACGCAUUAAGCUUUCCACGUGGCUGGGACAUUCGCACAACCGCCCUCCCCUUCACCUCCUGUGGUUGUGCUGGUGGGAGAAGGGUUCACCACCCAGCCUCCCACCCCAUGAAGUCACUACCCAAACACCUAUUUUUCACAAAAACGGUGAAAACGGGUGUUUUUCCCUGAUCUCACCACCUUUCCAUUGAUUUAGAGUGGUCUUCAGCACGAGGCUGGGAGUGCUCCACAAAGCAGCAUGUGCGGGUGAAGGAUAGGAGAGGAUGGGAUGCGGCCAGGCGUCUCCCAGGGGAUGGGACUGCAGAGGAGGGGGAAUGAUGUGAGUCAGGAGCAGAGACAGGGCCCAAAAAAGCCCCCAAACCAAGGAGGAACGGCUGUACCACAAAAACUUGCAAACACACCUGAACUUCCCAUCUUUAUCUGAUUCAAGAGCCAGCGCAGAAGCCACUGCCAUAGCUUUGCAGACCACCGGUGGGUUUUGUAGUGCAAUCUGGACCACAGAUCUAUGCAAAUCCUUAAGGCAG